GGUGGUGCAUGGCUGUCGUCAGCUCGUGCCGUGAGGUGUCCGGUUAAGUCCGGUAACGAGCGCAACCCUCGCCAUAUGUUACAAGUGUCAUAUGGGACUGCCGAUAUAAAGUCGGAGGAAGGUGGGGAUGACGUCAAGUCAGCAUGGCCUUUAUGUCCGGGGCUACACACACGCUACAAUGGCCGGUACAAUAGGUAGCAAGACCGCGAGGUGGAGCCAAUCCUUAAAGCCGGUCUCAGUUCAGAUUGCAGGCUGCAACCCGCCUGCAUGAAGUCGGAGUUGCUAGUAACCGCGCGUCAGCAAUAGUGCGGUGAAUACGUUCCCGGGCCUU
rnacentral:rRNA from 1 species